rnacentral:rRNA from 1 species
UACGGGGGGGGCAAGCGUUGUUCGGAAUUACUGGGCGUAAAGGGCGCGUAGGCGGCCGCCUAAGUCAGACGUGAAAUCCCUCGGCUCAACCGGGGAACUGCGUCUGAUACUGGGUGGCUUGAAUCCGGGAGAGGGAUGCGGAAUUCCAGGUGUAGCGGUGAAAUGCGUAGAUAUCUGGAGGAACACCGGUGGCGAAGGCGGCAUCCUGGACCGGCAUUGACGCUGAGGCACGAAAGCUAGGGGAGCAAACAGG